UAUGAUACAGGAGAAACAACACGAUCGGGGAGGCGGCGCAUCUUCGGGGAGGAUAAGAGGACAGGGGAGGAGAAGUAAGGCCUGGUGGCUGCUAAGGAGGUGCUCGCCGGCGAGCGGGCUCCGGCGGCCCCUAGCUCGCGGAGUUGGAUCGGGGCGCAUCCCCGCGGCCGUGGUUGUACUCGCUACGCCGCCUGCCCAAAAGAACCGGUGCUCCCCGCCGCCUGCCUCUCUUGCCCACGUGAAGCUACCACUCCCUUCCUCCUCCGCCAGCCCCAAGAGUGCCCACCCCGUUGCCCGAUCGGCUGCACCAGCGCCCUGCCGGUGGCGCUCGUCGGCCCUCCCCGCCGGCCCCGCGCCGUACCCGUCGUCUCCUCAAUCUGUUGUCAGGGGACAUGCCAGCGCCCUCCCAGUGGCCCUCGCCGACCCUCCCCGCCGUCCCCGUGUCGUAUCCGCCAUCUCCCCAAUCCGCAGCUAGAGGACACGCCAAGAAGCUUCAGUCAUGAGGCCGUCGCGCCGGAGGUCUUCCAUCUCAGAUUUGUUUUCUUUACGGUAUUUCCUCAGUGAUGUGAUGCUUCAACUUCUCUUCCGGUGCUUCUCAAAUUGAUGUAACCAAGAGGUGUUGUCAAGAAUUUCAUCAUGGCCACUGCUUUCCCACCGAGGUAUUUGCCGCAUGCAGCCAUGCACAAGUGUCGUCACUUGCAUCUCCUCUGUGCGUUCCCGUCAUUCCAUGCCGCACGAGGCUGCAGUCACCACACCCUUGAGUAGGUAAUUCAUCAAUUGAUAGUUUUUGUCCCUGCCGUGACUUGCAUCUUUCUACCUUGCUUCAAAUUUAAUUUGAUUGAAUGUCAAAUAAAGAUCAACUUUAUCUCUGAUUGAUUCAUGGAAGUGCAAGCUGAAUUAUAUUCAGGAUAUUCUGAUUAUUACUUCCAAGUUAUAUUCUAACACAAUGUCUUUGGUUUAACAACUUGCAAGUGUUUCUUGUACUGAUGUUAACCUCAUAAAAAAGACUCCCAGGUGGACAUCUGCUAUAAAUAAUCAGGUACUGCUUUCCAUUAUCAAAUUCAAAUGCUCAGUGAAACUAUCCAAUGGAUGGACUGGUUGUUUAACACUGAAUCAUCAACACUUUAUUCUCAUCUUAUCUCCUCUUCCAUUCACUGAAACAUCUGCAGUGCACGCUUGUUACUUCUUUGACUGCUUGAACAUAAAUAUUGAGAAAACUCAAUUUUCUAUGGGCAUGAAUAAUCUUUCGAUUCAUACAUAAAAUCAAAAUGUGGUUCCAGUUCCAGGAGGUAUGGCAUGAUUUCUCUGCUGGCGUGUGUGUGUGUUGCUUGUUUGUCUGUUGCCGGCUGGAUUGCACAGCGGCGAUGCCGGGAGCCGGGGGUCAUUGGAAAAGUGAGAUGCCGACGUCACUCAAAACGAUCCUUGCAUGGUAUUGACAGAAUCAUCCACAAAUUAUUUGAUGGCAUUGACCCUUGCUUGGCACGUGCUUAGCAUUGACUGAAUCCUACAUUGGCGAGCUUGUAUCCCGACCAACCUCUUUGUCUUCAUUUUUUAGAAGCUAACUCACUUGGUUUGUGCGCUCCAAUUUGCAUAUAGAGAGGUUCAGAUGUCUGGCCAGCUAGGCACUGCCUAUUUCUCUAAACCUGAAAAUUCAAAAAUCACUUUAGUUUUCACUAACACAGCUAGGGCCAACACCUGCUAUCAAGAGAGCCUCAACAGUGGACGGGGUGGCGGAGUAGUCACGUACCAACAAUACAGUAACUGCUAGCUAUACUUCUGGAGCAAAUUCUUUGUCGUAGUCAUCAGGCCGCAGAUGGCGUUGCCGGGAUACACGCCCACCAAGGUCUCCGGCCAUAUAGGCCCAUGAGGGAUCCAGGGUGUUGCUCUAUGCAGCAUCAUGACCACAAUGGUGACUUUGUUUUGAAAAUACUAUUUGAAUGGCAUCACAACAUUGAGUACACAUUUUUUUUUCAACAGUUGCUUUAUUUUUAUACCAUGUGAAUCUCCCUGGGUUAGAGCUUGAGACGUGCGUUACACACGGUUAAUUUUUCACGAUUUAUUGUUGUUGCUAUUUCCCACGAGGUACUUGAUAAAAAGUGUUCGGCGUGUGGUGCUCUUCAAUGACUUGUUCUCUUUUGAAGAGCAAGCAAUAGAGCAUGAGAGUGCCGUGAUCCUCCAAAUUCCUGCUCGCUUCUAUACCCGUAUAUCUGUUAUUUUUGACUGAUUUUAUUCCCUUGAAUGCUACAUAAGAGGUGUCUUUGCAGAGCUUAAGAACAAUUUAUUUGGUUGGAGCUAACUAAUACUGUAUUGCAAAGGGCCAGACAGCCAACCAACUACAAAUGGACUGCCCGAAUUUAUCCAUGUGUUGGAAUAGAUGAUAUUUGAUGAUUUGAACCUUGCAACGGUAGGGUUUCCACAUGUAUCUACCUCAAUUUAUUUGAUGAUACUUGUUGAAAGAUAUUUCUAAUACUUUAGUGCAUGUGAUAUAUUAUUUUAGAUAGUAGUACUACUUUAAUGUGGUGUGUUACAUUUUAGCUGGCAAAUGGGUUAAAUUCAUCUACGCAUCAGGUCAUCAGCACUCAGUAUCUCUGUGUUCUUGACAUACAAAAACUAUUCGUGUGUGAACUCUUGAAGUAAAAUACCAUAUUGUCUGCUUGAUUGUUAUUGUAGUUAACAAAAUGUUUAAAAAUUUAGCAAAAACAUACAACAUCCAGUAAUAUAGUACUUAUUAGCAUCUAUCGUGAUUAUCAACAUUUAUAUUUGUAAGACAUGUGUUGCACAUGCAUGUUUAUACUGUUUUAAGUUUUCAACUGCAGGGGUGUGAGACUUUAGCAUGCUCUGUACAUAAGCAGGGAGUUCAGGGGCAGAACUGAAGGUAGACUCGGGUGCAGUUAUCCACUCCUACUUGCUUUCACUAGAACAACAUAUUACACUGUGAAAGCAAGAUCAUGCACUGGCAUCCGGUUUUAUUACUCCACAGAUGUGGGUCAUCGGCCAUGACAAAAUAUGGGAUAACAAAUAUUAUGGAUACAAGAUGGCAACAUAAACUUCGCAAUUUUAUGAUUUGUGAUCUCGUAGAUUUUUGCCAUGCGGAGGACAAAUAAUUCUGGCUAUAUGCACUGGAGUUUAAUCCAUGUAUGUGAACUAAUUAGAUAUCGAUCUAUGUAAAUUUGGAGAAUCAUAUGUGUUUGAGAUGAUUUGAGAGUGCCCUUACCGGCCGUGUAGGUCCAUGGUAAUUCGAUUGUUC